CCUACGGGUGGCAGCAGUGGGGAAUAUUGGACAAUGGGGGGAACCCUGAUCCAGCGACGCCGCGUGAGUGAAGAAGUAUUUCGGUAUGUAAAGCUCUAUCAGCAGGGAAGAAAGACAUGACGGUACCUGACUCAGAAGCCCCGGCUAACUACGUGCCAGCAGCCGCGGUAAUACGUAGGGGGCAAGCGUUAUCCGGAUUUACUGGGUGUAAAGGGGGCGUAGACGGUUACGCAAGUCUGGAGUGAAAGGCGGGGGCGCAACCCCCGGACUGCUUUGGAAACUGUAUAACUGGAGUGCAGGAGAGGUAAGUGGAAUUCCUAGUGUAGCGGUGAAAUGCGUAGAUAUUAGGAGGAACACCAGUGGCGAAGGCGGCUUACUGGACUGUAACUGACGUUGAGGCUCGAAAGCGUGGGGAGCAAACAGGAUUAGAUACCCCAGUAGUC
rnacentral:rRNA from 1 species